GUACACACCGCCCGUCACACCAUGGGAGUUGGCUUUACCUGAAGACGGUGCGCUAACCGCAAGGAGGCAGCCGCUUAAGGUAUGGUCGGUGAUUGGGGUGAAGUCGUAACAAGGUAGCCGUAGGUGAACCUGCAGAAGGAUCA
rnacentral:rRNA from 1 species